GCCAGGUGUGGUGGUGCGCGCCUGUAAUCCCAAUGGCUUAGGAGGCUGAGACAGGAGGAUUUCAAGUUCAAAGCCAACCUCAGCAACUUAGUGAGGCCCCAAUCAACUCGGUGAGACCCUGUCUCAA
rnacentral:sRNA from 1 species